UGAAGGCUCCACAUAGCUCCGGACGCCGCCAAGGGUCUUUGGCAUCCCGGUGCCACCAACACGGAAGGUCUGAUCUUUCUGGUCCAAAGAAAUUGCUUCAGAGACCAGAGGUAUAGGAUCUACUGGUGCGCAUACAGAUGGAAAAUACUCAGAAAUAUAAAAUAAAUAAUUUUUUUUAAAAAAAGUUUUCAUUCAUGUAGAGAAAGAACGCAUUGUGGAGGGAGUGUAAAUUAAUGCUGUCAUUGUAGAAAACAAUAUGGCGGAUUCUCAAUUACAACUAGAACUGGUAUGUGAUACAGCAAUCCCACUACAGAGUAGUCACACAACAGAAAUAAAACCGGUACCCUCCGGAGACAUUUACACUCCUGCUUUCAA
rnacentral:lncRNA from 1 species